rnacentral:rRNA from 1 species
AGUGAACGCUGGCGGUAGGCCUAACACAUGCAAGUCGAACGGCAGCACAGUAAGAGCUUGCUCUUACGGGUGGCGAGUGGCGGACGGGUGAGGAAUACAUCGGAAUCUACUUUUUCGUGGGGGAUAACGUAGGGAAACUUACGCUAAUACCGCAUACGACCUACGGGUGAAAGCAGGGGAUCUUCGGACCUUGCGCGAUUGAAUGAGCCGAUGUCGGAUUAGCUAGUUGGCGGGGUAAAGGCCCACCAAGGCGACGAUCCGUAGCUGGUCUGAGAGGAUGAUCAGCCACACUGGAACGGAGACACGGUCCAGACUCCUACGGGAGGCAGCAGUGGGGAAUAUUGGACAAUGGGCGCAAGCCUGAUCCAGCCAUACCGCGUGGGUGAAGAAGGCCUUCGGGUUGGAAAGCCCUUUUGUUGGGAAAGAAAAGCAGCAGGUUAAUACCCCGCUGUUCUGACGGUACCCAAAGAAUAAGCACCGGCUAACUUCGUG